rnacentral:rRNA from 1 species
UCUAACAUGUGCGCGAGUCAUUGGGCGCACUAAACCCAAAGGCGCAAUGAAAGUGAAAGGGGGGCGCCCCGGGGUCCUCGUGGCCUCGGUCGGCGUCCUCCGGGGCCGAUCCUCGACCGGCCGAUUAUCAGGCCGCCGGGUUUUCCCGUACCAAAGCGGGGCCGUUCUAAAGGAGGUGCGCGGGGUGAGUCCCUUUCCCCCGUCGACUGCCUCCGGCCUCGUGGGUACCCGGCGCGCUCGGCGGUCCGGGCUCCGUUCACGCGGAGCUCGCCUGUACGCAGGGGGGCGCAGGCCCGGGACUUGCCAUAUGACGCCGUCGCGCGAAUCUGUUGUUGGCCUCAUCGGCUUUGCUUGGGCUCUCGGUUGGUGCGCCGCGUGUCUUUGGGCGGGCUUUGGGUGGGGGCUUCGGCUUCUCCCCGGGUCCGUCCGGCGCGGUUUCGCCUUCCGAUCCUGCUCUGUCCGGAGUGGCCUAGCGCGCGUGCUGUCGGCAAGUACCACGAGCGGACAUGUUGGGACCCGAAAGAUGGUGAACUAUGCCUGGCCAGGAUGAAGCCAGAGGAAACUCUGGUGGAGGUCCGUAGCAAUUCUGACGUGCAAAUCGAUUGUCAGAGCUGGGUAUAGGGGCGAAAGACUAAUCGAACCAUCUA